rnacentral:rRNA from 1 species
AGAAUCAACGCUGGCGGCGUGCCUAACACAUGCAAGUCGAACGAGAAAGUGGUAGCAAUACCAUGAGUAAAGUGGCGCACGGGUGAGUAACACGUGACUAACCUACCCUGGAGUGGGGGAUAACUGGGAGAAAUCCUAGCUAAUACCGCAUAAUACCUACGGGUCAAAGGAGCAAUUCGCUUCAGGAGGGGGUCGCGGCCGAUUAGUUAGUUGGCGGGGUAAUGGCCCACCAAGACGAUGAUCGGUAUCCGGCCUGAGAGGGCGCACGGACACACUGGAACUGAAACACGGUCCAGACUCCUACGGGAGGCAGCAGUGGGGAAUUUUGCGCAAUGGGGGAAACCCUGACGCAGCAACGCCGCGUGGAGGAUGAAGUCCUUCGGGACGUAAACUCCUUUCGAUCGGGACGAUUAUGACGGUACCGAGAGAAGAGCCCGGCUAACUUCGUGCCAGCAGCCGC